rnacentral:snoRNA from 1 species
ACUAUUUAUGAUGAUUUCCCUUAAUUUUACCAUCUUUCGGGUCUGAAUUAAGAUGUGUUGAUAUUAUGGGAUAUACUGAAAUAGUUAAGGAUUUAUUAC